UAUUUCAAUCAGAAAUUUAUUUGCAAUAAUCGGUAUUAUUGAUCGUUCAAAAAAUUUGCAAUGAUCGUUUUCGAUCGUAGUUAAAAAUUCCGAAUAUAUGACACUGGUAUUAUUCAAAUUUGAAGCACUCUGGUCACCAUCUCUCAAAAUCCGCUAACAUCUCAAGCACAUCCCUGCACCAUUCUCUUAAGAGCUGUCCCUGUCACUAGAAAUAGAAACAGAAACGUCAAAAACGUGUUGACGCGUGUCAUCAAUGAAUUUUGGUCUCAAUUCAACUCAAAACUCGAACGAAAGUGCUAAUUCGCGAUUAAAUUCUUUUUCGUGAAUCUGUACUUGAGUUUUCCCAAGUCAACCUUUAAUUUUAUCAAAAAACGAAACAAAACAAAUUACUAACCUAAUUUAACCAACUCAAAUAUUCCCUCCAUCAUUUGAAGUCUCCAAAAUGUCUCCACCAAAAGGAAAACAAGGCACCAAAGGGGCAAAACAAAUUGUCGAAGAAAACACUGCAACAUUGAGCUUCUAUAGAAAUAUGGCUUUGGGUAGUACGGCUGCCUCCUUGCUCCUCAAUGUUAUCUUCUUUGAGUUUGGCAAAUUGGCUGUGAUUAUGUCUGUGAUAACAAUUGCAACCCUUGUGGCUGCCUAUCAAUUCAUGGCAUUCAUGUCAAAGGCCAAAUUCUCAGAGACAGGGGCAAUUCUCAGUUCGGGAAAUGAUCUUAACAUGGAAGGCGGUAUAGCUGAAAAUGCCAAGGAUUUAAUAAUUCUCAGCUCAGGAACUCUGCUCUUGACACUCCUGUCCAACUACUUCUGGUUCUUGCUUCUGUUGGUGCCGAUCCGAGCCGUCUGGAUGCUCUGGGGAUCCGUCAUCCAACCCUGGCUGGCACAACGCAACGAAGCCGAACCAGAGCCCGACGAGAAGAAACAGCGCAAGAUGGAAAGGAAAAUGCGCCGCAUGAGAUGAAAAUAACUUCCCAUCCAGCGCUCCAUGCGAUCCACUAAGUCAUAGAAUUAAAGAUCAAACAAAAAGAAAACAAACUCUUGAACCAAUGGAAGCGGCUUCCCCUGGCGCAGACCAUAGCUUUUAUAGUAUAGUUCUAGAGAGAGCUGUGUUGGAAACAACGGAACCUUCAAGUCAUCCCAAAGGCCAAACUUAUAAUAUUUAUUAUUUUCCCUUUGAUAUUGUUUUCAUAUUUUCAAUUAAUUGUGUCGUCCAAGCCAAGCCAUUGAGUUUCUAUUACCGGGGAUUUAGGAUAAAGAAACAAAAACAAAAAUAAUAAUAAAAACUUCCUUAAAAACGCUUUUUAGAAAAAAGAAUCAAAGAA